rnacentral:sRNA from 1 species
UGGCUUCGACGCCGGUGGCGAACCCUUGAGUGCAUGUCGAGAUGGCAGCCAAUCUCGUUAAUCCAAAGCUGCAACGCAAUAGUCGCAAACGACGAAAACUACGCACUAGCAGCGUAAGCUGCUAGUCGUCCUGACCGGGUCGCCCGUAGCCCGGAAGCAACAUCUCAGGACGUCAUCGCUUACGGGAUGCUCCGUUACCCAGAGUUCACUGGUUAACGGCUAAGAUUUAAAGAACUCGGUUCUUGCACCCUGGC